rnacentral:rRNA from 1 species
UGGGGAAUUUUGGACAAUGGGGGAAACCCUGAUCCAGCCAUCCCGCGUGUGCGAUGAAGGCCUUCGGGUUGUAAAGCACUUUUGGCAGGAAAGAAACGUCGCGGGUUAAUACCCCGCGAAACUGACGGUACCUGCAGAAUAAGCACCGGCUAACUACGUGCCAGCAGCCGCGGUAAUACGUAGGGUGCAAGCGUUAAUCGGAAUUACUGGGCGUAAAGCGUGCGCAGGCGGUUCGGAAAGAAAGAUGUGAAAUCCCAGAGCUUAACUUUGGAACUGCAUUUUUAACUACCGGGCUAGAGUGUGUCAGAGGGAGGUGGAAUUCCGCGUGUAGCAGUGAAAUGCGUAGAUAUGCGGAGGAACACCGAUGGCGAAGGCAGCCUCCUGGGAUAACACUGACGCUCAUGCACGAAAGCGUGGGGAGCAAACAGGAUUAGAUACCCUGGUAGUCCACGCCCUAAACGAUGUCAACUAGCUGUUGGGGCCUUCGGGCCUUGGUAGCGCAGCUAACGCGUGAAGUUGACCGCCUGGGGGAGUACGGUCGCAAGAUUAAAACUUAAAUGAAUUGACGGGGGUCAUAGCUGUUUCCCU